GAUGAAGAACGUAGCGAAAUGCGAUAAGUAAUGUGAAUUGCAGAAUUCAGUGAAUCAUCGAAUCUUUGAACGCACCUUGCGCCCUUUGGCCAUUCCGAAGGGCAUGCCUGUUUGAGUAUCAUGAACACCUCAACUCUUCAUGGUUUUCCAUGAUGAGCUUGGACUUUGGGGGUCUUGCUGGCCUGUGGGUCGGCUCCUCUCAAAUGAAUCAGCUUGCCGGUUUUUGGUGGGCAUCACAGGUGUGAUAACUAUCUACGCUUGUGGUUUUCCACCAGGGUAACCUUCAGCAGUGGAGGUUCACUGGAGCUUACAAAUGUCUCUCCUCUGUGAGGACAGCACUUUGAAUGUUUGAUCUCAAAUCAGGUAGGACUACCCGCUGAACUUAAGCAUAUCAAUAAGCGGAGGA
rnacentral:misc_RNA from 1 species